GUCCUUGCCGUAAACGAUGCAUACUUGAUGUAGCUGGUCUCAACCCCAGCUGUGUCGAAGCUAACGCGUUAAGUAUGCCGCCUGGGGAGUACGCCCGCAAGGGUGAAACUCAAAAGAAUUGACGGGGGCCCGCACAAGCAGUGGAGCAUGUGGUUUAAUUCGAUGCUACGCGAAGAACCUUACCCAGGUUUGACAUGCAGAGGACCGCUCCAGAGAUGGAGUUUCCCUUCGGGGCCUUUGCACAGGUGCUGCAUGGCU
rnacentral:rRNA from 1 species